GGAGUCCAGAGUCCUCGAAGGGAAAUCUGACACAAAGAAGCAGGUGUGAGACCGGCCCCUUUCUCCCAUGCCUUAGACAGGGCUCCAGGGACUGCUUCAGGGGAGAUGUCAGAGGGCAGCAGGGACCGGGAAGGGAGGAAGAAAGCAGAGUGACAGUGAGAGGUGGGAAAACUACAAGAGGAAUUGUUUGUACGCUUGGAUCUGGACUUUUAGAACUGGUCAGGACCUGACAGAUCCUCCAGCCCAGUUCUCCCGGCUCUCAAACACUGGCAUCAUUUAUAAUUCCCUGGAAAAUCACCAGCAGGUAAAUGAAGGAGAAAAGAAAAGAACAAAAUCCACCGGGAACCAGAGACUUCCAGGCUCCAAAGACAGGCAAUCUCCACCAGGAAUAUAGACAGGAUUUCCACAUGUCGCCCAGGCUGAUCUCAGACUCCUGACCUGGAUCUUCCCACCUCAGCCACUGAACGUGCUGGGAUUACAGAGAUGGGCCUCUUUCUGUCGCCCAGGCUGGAGUGCAAUGGUGUGAUCAUAGCUCACUGCAGCCUCAACCUCCUGAGCUCAAAUAGUCCUCCUGCCUCAGCUUCCUGAGUUGCGACUACAGCCAUGAACCACUGCAUCCAGUUCAGGUAAGCCUAGAAUUGUACGAUUGGAACUCAAUGACGGGUCUCACUCUGUUGACCAGGGUGAGGAGUGUAGUGGCAUGAUCAUAGUUCACUGCAACCUCUGCCUCCCUCCCAGACUCAAGCAAUCCUCUGGCCUCAGCCUCACCAAGUAGCUAGGACUACAGAUUCAUGACUUCAAUUGAGAGAUGAGUUUCAAGCCACCUUUCAAGGAAUCCUGGGUAGAAUGAAAUCUGUUCCAUGGAAUCUUAAGAAGAAGAAGAAAAAAAAUCAAGAUCCCUGUGGGCAAAGUCAUUUGCUGUCAUGCUUGGAAGGAGUAGAACCAAGUGUUUAUGAGCAUGGACUUUGGAGUCAGGAUACUCUCCUGAUAUACCACGAUGCAGAAUGUCAAGUAGGAAAAGAAGCUGUUGCAUUGGGCAAUUAAGAAGUCAUUGGUGAGAGAAGUUUCAGUCUGAAGUGGAAUCAUAGUAAAUUACAGAAAAAUAGUCUUUGGAGAGAGAAGGAAUCUGGUUAAUCCACAGGCCACACAAUCAUGGUUGAAAAUUAGUGAAUGAGCGAAUGAUGGAUCCAUCUCUUGAAGCAAUACUUGAAUCGCAGAAUUCUUAUAUUGAUAGAAGCAGAAGGAAACCAGAAGUGCUCCAAUUAAAGGCCUCCAUUUUUCAGA
ensembl:lncRNA LINC01517 long intergenic non-protein coding RNA 1517